rnacentral:tRNA from 1 species
AGAGCGAGCGCCUUUCGGGCCCUCGCAGUGCCCACCCUCUAUCGGCUGUGCCUGUUUCGCCGCGAAGCGAAGGCUUGAGAGCACCCCGGCCGGGUCUGUAGCUCAGUUGGUUAGAGCACCGUCUUGAUAAGGCGGGGGUCGAUGGUUCGAAUCCAUCCAGACCCACCAACCGCGAUUGGGCGGGGCCUGGGCCAGGAUCACCGGGGCUGUAGCUCAGCUGGGAGAGCACCUGCUUUGCAAGCAGGGGGUCACCGGUUCGAUCCCGGUCAGCUCCACCAGCGUCCUUUCCUGGGUUGCAAUCCCUUCGGUUGUGCGGCGGGUCGGUUGCCAUCGGCAAGCGCGUGUCGGGUUCGCGUGCUUGCCGAUGGCUUCGGCGACGAAGCCUGUGGGCUCUUUAAAAAUUCGGGAAGUGUGAAGGUAGUGUCGUGCGAACGCCCUUGGGGCGCGAGCGCGGCACGACUGGGUGAUGUAUUGCAUCGCGCGUGGCGCCGUAUAAAAAGGGCGGCGCCUCGCACAAGCGCUUACAUGAGAAGCCCUAUAGGCAGUUCUCGACCGACCCGGCAACGGGCGGCAGGGUUAUAG